GCUGACCCUUGGCAUCCCUGUGUCCGAGAGGCAUCCCUCCCGUCUCUGUCUGCUCAUGGCCCCUCCCCCGCGUGUCUUUCUCUUUUCUCCUAAGGACAAAGGUCCCUGGAUCCAUGUGCACCCUAAUGACCUCCUCUGAACUUGAUGGCAUCUGCUGGGCCCCUGUUUCGAAAUAAGGUCGCACUCACAGGUACUGGGGGAUGGAUGAGGACAUCAGCAUGUCUUUUGAAGAUUGCCCAACUCGGCCCAUCACGGCCAGGAGCGCACCGGUGUGGACCGGCCGAGGAGCUGUCUGGCUUCCAGGGCUCUCGACUGGCACUCAGUCCAAGACAGACCGCCCGCCCGAUGAUGUCAGGGGAAGAAGAAAUGAGCGCCACAUCAAAGGGCUCUCAACUCGGCCCAGUGAUUGCACCUCCACGCUCAAGAGAGGCCCUUCCAAAGCGUCCUCACCCUGAUGUCAGGCGGAGGGCCCCUGGACACCGGUUCAAGGCCCCCCAGGGGGUCUGGCAGGUCAGAUGAACCCCGAGAGUCAGGCGGACCCUCUCAUGGUACCUCGACUUCUAAGUCAGGUGCUAUCUCAGUGGUCAGAGAGACGAGGCCUGGCCAAGCCUGCCUUCCUGUGACGUCAGGAAGAGGCCCUCCACGGUGGCACUGACCGAGGUCUCAUUCAGGAGCGAUCCUCAGGGUCCCACUUCUUCAGACAGCGACUGCCUUCUUUGGGUUCCUCCAGAAGCGGACGCAGAGGUGAGGACUCAAAUGCCCGUGGUUGGUACGGCUCACCUUGACCAAUGGUGUCCCCAAGCCCACCAGAGCCUGGGCCUGCCUGGACCCUUCUGCACCCAAACCCCAAUGCAGCUUGGUGAUCUUCUACCAAGCUACAGGCUCAGCCAUGCCCCUAACAGAGCCCCCUUAUGGAAUGAAGGACUGAAACCCCACUCCUGGGAUCCCUCCCUGCAGGGCUGUCCAC
rnacentral:lncRNA from 1 species